GAUGAACGCUGGCGGCGUGCCUAAUACAUGCAAGUCGAGCGAACAGACGAGGAGCUUGCUCCUCUGACGUUAGCGGCGGACGGGUGAGUAACACGUGGAUAACCUACCUAUAAGACUGGGAUAACUUCGGGAAACCGGAGCUAAUACCGGAUAAUAUAUUGAACCGCAUGGUUCAAUAGUGAAAGACGGUUUUGCUGUCACUUAUAGAUGGAUCCGCGCCGCAUUAGCUAGUUGGUAAGGUAACGGCUUACCAAGGCAACGAUGCGUAGCCGACCUGAGAGGGUGAUCGGCCACCCUGGAACUGAGACACGGUCCAGACUCCUACGGGAGGCAGCAGUAGGGAAUCUUCCGCAAUGGGCGAAAGCCUGAAGGAGCAACGCCGCGUGAGUGAUGAAGGUCUUCGGAUCGUAAAACUCUGUUAUUAGGGAAGAACAAAUGUGUAAGUAACUAUGCACGUCUUGACGGUACCUAAUCAGAAAGCCACGGCUAACUACGUG
rnacentral:rRNA from 1 species